rnacentral:rRNA from 1 species
UUUUUGAUUAAUAAUUUAAAGUCUAAUCUGCCCACUGAUAAAAAUUAAAGGGCUGCAGUAAUUUGACUGUACAAAGGUAGCAUAAUCAUUAGUCUCUUAAUUGGUGACUUGUAUGAAGGAUUUGAUGAAAUAUAAACUGUCUCUUAAUUAUUUAUUAAAAUUUAAUUUUUUAGUUAAAAAGCUAAAAUAAAUUUAAAAGACGAGAAGACCCUAUAGAGUUUUAUAAUUAAUAUAAUUAUUAUUUUAUUUGAAUUUUUAUAAAAUGAUUAUAUAAAUUAUUUUAUUGGGGUGAUAGAAAAAUUUAAUUAACUUUUUUUAAAAAUUAAACAUUUAUUUAUGAUUAUAUGAUCCAUUUUUAAUGAUUAUAAGAGAAAAUUACCUUAGGGAUAACAGCGUAAUUUUUUUUUUUAGUUCAAAUAAAAAAAAAAGUUUGCGACCUCGAUGUUGGAUUAAGAUAAAAUUUAAAUGCAAAAGUUUAAAAUUUUUGAUCUGUUCGAUCAUUAAAAUCUUACA